rnacentral:rRNA from 1 species
GACGAACGCUGGCGGCGUGCUUUAGGCAUGCAAGUCGAACGCGAAAGCCCCUUCGGGGGUGAGUAGAGUGGCGAACGGGUGAGUAACACGUGGGUAACCUGCCCCUCGCAGGGGGAUAACCGGGGGAAACCCCGGCUAAUACCCCGUACGCUUGCUGGGGCGCAUGCUCCGGCAAGGAAAGGUAGCUUCGGCCAUCCGGCGAGGGAGGGGCCCGCGGCCCAUUAGCUAGUUGGUGGGGUAACGGCCCACCAAGGCGACGAUGGGUAGCUGGCCGGAGAGGGUGGUCAGCCACACUGGGACUGAGACACGGCCCAGACUCCUACGGGAGGCAGCAGCCAGGAAUCUUGCGCAAUGGGCGAAAGCCUGACGCAGCAACGCCGCGUGGGCGAUGAAGGCCUUCGGGUCGUAAAGCCCUGUUGUCGGGGACGAAGGGCGAAGGGUUAAUAGCCCCUAGCCUGACGGUACCCGACGAGGAAGCCCCGGCUAACUACGUG